rnacentral:rRNA from 1 species
CCUACGGGAGGCAGCAGUGGGGAAUAUUGGACAAUGGGCCACAAGCCUGAUCCAGCAAUUCUGUGUGCACGAUGAAGGUCUUCGGAUCGUAAAGUGCUUUCAGUAGGGAAGAAAAAAAUGACGGUACCUACAGAAGAAGCGACGGCUAAAUACGUGCCAGCAGCCGCGGUAAUACGUAUGUCGCAAGCGUUAUCCGGAAUUAUUGGGCGUAAAGCGCGUCUAGGCGGUCUUUUAAGUCUGAUGUUAAAAUGCGGGGCUCAACUCCGUAUUGCGUUGGAAACUGGAAGACUAGAGUAUCAGAGAGGUGGGCGGAACUACAAGUGUAGAGGUGAAAUUCGUAGAUAUUUGUAGGAAUGCCGAUUGGGAAGCCAGCUCACUGGAUGAAUACUGACGCUGAAGCGCGAAAGCGUGGGGAGCAAACGGGAUUAGAUACCCCGGUAGUCCACGCCGUAAACGAUGAUCACUAAGUGUGGGGGGUCGAACCUCCGUGCUCAAGCUAACGCGAUAAGUGAUCCGCCUGGGGAGUACGCACGCAAGUGUGAAACUCAAAGGAAUUGACGGA